AUUAAAUUGGUGACUCAUUUGAGA
rnacentral:siRNA from 1 species